rnacentral:rRNA from 1 species
AUUGAACGCUGGCGGCAGGCCUAACACAUGCAAGUCGAGCGGAUGAAGGGAGCUUGCUCCUGGAUUCAGCGGCGGACGGGUGAGUAAUGCCUAGGAAUCUGCCUGGUAGUGGGGGACAACGUUUCGAAAGGAACGCUAAUACCGCAUACGUCCUACGGGAGAAAGCAGUGGACCUUCGGGCCUUGCGCUAUCAGAUGAGCCUAGGUCGGAUUAGCUAGUUGGUGAGGUAAUGGCUCACCAAGGCGACGAUCCGUAACUGGUCUGAGAGGAUGAUCAGUCACACUGGAACUGAGACACGGUCCAGACUCCUACGGGAGGCAGCAGUGGGGAAUAUUGGACAAUGGGCGAAAGCCUGAUCCAGCCAUGCCGCGUGUGUGAAGAAGGUCUUCGGAUUGUAAAGCACUUUAAGUUGGGAGGAAGGGUUGUAGAUUAAUACUCUGCAAUUUUGGCGUUACCGACAGAAUAAGCACCGGCUAACUCUGUGCCAGCCGCCGCCGUAAGAC